UCAUCACGUGCAGUAGAAACACUUGAAGCCAAUAGAUGGAUCACUUGGUCAAAAGGCCCAAACAGAUCUGCCUCAGUCAAUGUUGUUGGAAUAGCCCUAUUAUUUUUAUGUCUGUGAUUACGAGGACAGCAGCGUGACUGGUGCGCUGACACAGAUAACAAAGAUGUAUUUAGGGCUAAAUAAUAUUGAGUUUACCUUUGUUUAAAGCUGGAAUCAAUACUUCUUAAAGCACGUCCAUUUUUCAUUUAGCAAGCCUCUUGUCUGAGAGUAGGGUCAGAGAGAUGUAUGGAGGGGAGAGUGUUUUAAUUCCCUCUCGGUUGUAGUAGUAAUAAUAAUUGUCAGUACAACCGCGGAUCCUAAAGAUUGGGUGAUAGGGAGGCCAGCCGCACAACAUAAAAUUAAUAGAGUUUGAAAAUUGAGACAGAUUAUUCGCCCGUUAUUUUUCUUUCCUGAUUUUUACAGGAUACCGACUGAGAUGGCCGUUGGUGUCGAUGUACUGGAAACAUGGUGAAUGAACUUCUCAACGGAUCACAACCUGUAAUCUGCCUGUGAGUCUAGAUCCUGACAACUCUGCCCCAGCUGAUAAGACUUUAAUCCUCAGUGCCGAACACAGGUACUGACCACAGAGACGAAAGAAUAUGACUUGUGGUUUUGGAAAAACGGGGUAUGAGCUGAAAGGCUUCAAGCAGGUCUAUAAAUUAAAUCAAGGCCGUGAUAAGGAAAUUGACAGAGAGAGUGGUGCCCCAAUGAAAGCAAUUGGAUGCUCGUAAAACGUUCCCAG